AACGAACGCUGGCGGCAGGCCUAACACAUGCAAGUCGAGCGAGCAUUUCGGUGGUAGCGGCGGACGGGGGAGUAACGCGUCGGAACGUGCCCUUUUCUGUGGAAUACUCCUGGGAAACUGGGGGUAAUACCGCAUACGCCCUUCUGGGGAAAGAUAUAUCGAAGAAGGUUCGGCCCGCGUUGGAUUAGGUGGUUGGUGGGGUAAUGGCCCACCAGGCCGACGAUCCAUAGAUGGUUAGUGAGGAUGAUCAGCCACACUGGGACUGAGAAACGGCCCGGACUCCUACGGGAGGCGCGAGAGGGGAAUCUUGGACAAUGGGGGCAAUCCUGAACUAGCCCGGCCGCGAGAGCGAUGAAGGCCUUAGGGUUGUAAAGCUCUUUCAGCUGGGAAGAUAAUGACGGUACCAGAAGAAGAAGCCCCGGCUAACUCCGUG
rnacentral:rRNA from 1 species